rnacentral:lncRNA from 1 species
GCAGCUUCAGUUGUCGCGCGUGGGCACGCGCUCAUCCUUUGUAUUCCUCGCGCAGGCGCGCGAGUGUAAAUUCUGGUCCAGCCGAGUGAUCGCGCGGGCAUGCGUGUGUAAGCCUAAUCAGCCGCGCGGCUUCUGCAGUGUUGAUUCUGGUUCUGCUGCUGCUUCUGACUCUGUCAUGCUGUUCAUCCUUUUGUCCACCAAUGUUUGAU